CAAUAGCGUAUAUUAAAGUUGUUGCAGUUAAAAAGCUCGUAGUUGGAUUUCUGAUCGAGACAUCAGGUCGGGUCCGAGAGGAUCAUGUACUUUGAUUUGUUUUGAUCAUCCUUGGGGAGAGCAUUUCUGGCAUUCAGUUGUCGGGAUUGGGGUCCUCAUCGUUUACUGUGAAAAAAUUAGAGUGUUCAAAGCAGGCCUCGGCCUCUGAAUACAUUAGCAUGGAAUAAUAAGAUAGGACUUUGGUGGUCUAUUUUGUUGGUUUGCACGCCAAAGUAAUGAUUAAUAGGGAUAGUUGGGGGUAUUCGUAUUCAAUUGUCAGAGGUGAAAUUCUUGGAUUUAUGGAAGACGAACUACUGCGAAAGCAUUUGCCAAGGAUGUUUUCAUUGA
rnacentral:rRNA from 1 species